UACGUAGGGGGCAAGCGUUGUCCGGAUUUAUUGGGCGUAAAGAGCGUGUAGGCGGCCAUACAGGUCCGUUGUGAAAACUGGAGGCUUAACCUCCAGACGUCGAUGGAAACCGUAUGGCUAGAGUCCGGAAGAGGAGAGUGGAAUUCCUGGUGUAGCGGUGAAAUGCGCAGAUAUCAGGAAGAACACCCGUGGCGAAGGCGGCUCUCUGGGACGGUUCUGACGCUGAGACGCGAAAGCGUGGGGAGCGAACAGG
rnacentral:rRNA from 1 species